rnacentral:rRNA from 1 species
UACGUAGGGGGCUAGCGUUGUCCGGAAUCAUUGGGCGUAAAGCGCGUGUAGGCGGUCCGGUAAGUCCGCUGUGAAAGUCGGGGGCUCAACCCUCGAAUGCCGGUGGAUACUGUCGGGCUAGAGUGCGGAAGAGGCGAGUGGAAUUCCUGGUGUAGCGGUGAAAUGCGCAGAUAUCAGGAGGAACACCGAGUGGCGAAGGCAGGUCUCUGGGCCGACUACUGACGCUGGAGAAGCGGAAAAGCAUGGGGGAGCGAAACGGG